CCGCUGCUCUCCCCGCUGGCCAUCGCCGCGGCCUCCGGGUCGAACGACAGGUACGGCAUUGCGCCGAACGCCCUGGCGAGCGCGGCGGCGGUGGCGCCGUCGGUCCUCUGCUUGAGCACCUCGAACAUCACCUCGGGCUCGUGCUGCAUCGAGCGGAGCACGUCGGCGCACGACGGCCCCGCCGCCGCGCGCGUGACGGCGAAGCAGUGCGGCCCGUCGCUCUGCGACACGCGCACCACGCUCGGCCCGCCGAACAGGUUGUGGAGGCCGCCGAGGGCCUCCUGGUAGGCGCCGCCGAGGAACAUGCCGAGGUAGUAGCCGCGGGUGCCGUGGACGGGGAGCUCGUGCAGCGGCAGGCUGUGCCUCCCGCCGAUGAAGUGGUCGACCUUGCCGUCGCUGUCGCAGGUGAGGUCGGAGAGGACGCCGUCGACCGCAGGGCGCUCACCGAGGCGCUGGAUUGGGAUGAUCGGGAACAUCUGCCCGAUCGCCCACAUGUCCGGCAGGGAGGUGAACACGGACAGGUUGAUGUGGUACGUGCGCGGCGGCUCGGCGGCGCCCAUGCCGCGGGCGACGAUCUCGCAGAGGCUGUCCACCGCGGCGAGGUGCUCCAGGCCAAGAACGCCGUCCUUGAACUGAUCGGCGCAGCGCCGCUUCAGCUGGUCGGCGUACAGAGCGCAGGUGUCGAAGUCGCCGCGCACCGCGGCGGCCAUGAGGUUGCGGUAGUCGGCGUGGCAGUCGUCGGUGAGCUCGUCGAGCAGGUAGCCCGUGGCCGGGUCAAUGCGGCCGGGCGCCGAAGCCGAGAAGGCCUCGAA
rnacentral:lncRNA from 1 species